AUUGAACGCUGGCGGCAGGCCUAACACAUGCAAGUCGAACGGUAACAGGAAGAAGCUUGCUUCUUUGCUGACGAGCGGCGGACGGGUGAGUCAUGUCUGGGAAACUGCCUGAUGGAGGGGGAUAACUACUGGAAACGGUAGCUAAUACCGCAUAACGUCGCAAGACCAAAGAGGGGGACCUUCGGGCCUCUUGCCAUCGGAUGUGCCCAGAUGGGAUUAGCUAGUAGGUGGGGUAACGGCUCACCUAGGCGACGAUCCCUAGCUGGUCUGAGAGGAUGACCAGCCACACUGGAAGUGAGACACGGUCCAGACUCCUACGGGAGGCAGCAGUGGGGAAUAUUGCACAAUGGGCGCAAGCCUGAUGCAGGCAUGCCGCGUGUAUGAAGAAGGCCUUCGGGUUGUAAAGUACUUUCAGCGGGGAGGAAGGGAGUAAAGUUAAUACCUUUGCUCAUUGACGUUACCCGCAGAAGAAGCACCGGCUAACUCCGUG
rnacentral:rRNA from 1 species